rnacentral:rRNA from 1 species
GGUAUGGGAUGAGCUUGCGUCCGAUUAGCUAGUUGGCGGGGCAACGGCCCACCAAGGCGACGAUCGGUAGCCGGCCUGAGAGGGUGAUCGGCCACAUUGGGACUGAGAUACGGCCCAGACUCCUACGGGAGGCAGCAGUAGGGAAUAUUGCACAAUGGGGGAAACCCUGAUGCAGCAACGCCACGUGUGGGAAGAAGCAUUUCGGUGUGUAAACCACUGUCGUGAGGGAAUAAGGCAUUGUUUCGGCGAUGUUGAAUGUACCUCGAGAGGAAGCACCGACAAACUUCGUGCCAGCAGCCGCGGUAAUACGAGGGGUGCAAGCGUUGUUCGGAAUCACUGGGCGUAAAGGGAGCGUAGGCGGAGAUGCAAGCGGACUGUACAAUACCGGGGCCCAACCCCGGACCUGCAGUUCGGACUGCACCUCUUGGAUAGUUCAGGGGCAGGC